rnacentral:rRNA from 1 species
AUGCUGCAGCCCAUACACGAGAUCUCCGGCGCCGUGCAGCUACCAGGGCCGAGCAUAGAGAGAGAGACGCCCCCACCCCACCCCCGAGCCCUUCAACUUGCCUCCCGCCUUGACGGCUGCAGGCCCGCACGUACGCCCAUGGUACCAACCCUCUUCUCCUCUCCCUAUGCACUCCUCUCAUAUGCAUCUACCUCUGAUCCAUUUAUUUCAUCUUUAGAAUUUGGAGAAACACCAAAUAUUUAUGUAGCUAAAUUUCAUCCUUUUGCCAUUGCCAAGGUGGCCAUUUUUAAGAACCCGUUCAGGAGGGGUGACAACCUCCUUGUUAUGUGCGACUGCUACACACCACAAGGUGUUCCAAUCCCCACCAACAAGAGGCACAAUGCUGCCAAGAUCUUCAACACCUCGAAGGUUGCAGCUGAGGAGAGAUGGUAUGGAAUUGAGCAGGAGUACACUCUCCUCCAGAAGGAUGUGAACUGGCCCCUUGGCUGGCCCGUUGGUGGCUACCCUGGUCCUCAGGCAAGAAAACUCUCAGCAUGCUCUCCAGCUUUCCGUUUGUUGGAAGAAAAGAAGAAGAUCCAGAGAAGAUCUUAG